rnacentral:rRNA from 1 species
AUGCACUAAAGCUUUGUCCUUACGGAAAAGCGCAUUUAUUAGAACAAAACCACGCGGCUUCGGCUGCUUCUUGUUGACUCAGAAUAACUUAGCUGACCGCAUGGCCUUGUGCCGGCGGCGUGUCUUUCAAGCGUCCACUUUAUCAACUUGACGGGAGCAUAAUCGACUCCCGUGGUGGUGACGGAUAACGGAGGAUCAGGGUUCGACUCCGGAGAAGGGGCCUGAGAAAUGGCCACUACGUCUAAGGAUGGCAGCAGGCGCGCAAAUUACCCACUCUCGGCUCGAGGAGGUAGUGACGAGAAAUAACGAGACUGUUCUCUUUGAGGCCGGUCAUCGGAAUGGGUACAAUUUAAACCCUUUAACGAGUAUCAAGCAGAGGGCAAGUCUGGUGCCAGCAGCCGCGGUAAUUCCAGCUCUGCAAAUACAUAGAAUUAUUGCUGCGGUUAGAAAGCUCAUAGUUGGAUUCGUAUCGAUACCUUGGAACCCUUCGGGUGUCUCUAGGUGUUAUCGAUUUAUCGUAAUGUUCGGUUUUGAGUCCUUAACAGGAUUCUUAACAGGCAUUGCAAGUUUACUUUGAACAAAUCAGAGUGCUUCAAACAGGCGUUUUCGCUUGAAUGAUCGUGCAUGGAAUAAUAGAAAAUGAUUUCGGUUCAGUUUUAUUGGUUUUACGGACUGAGAUAAUGGUUAACAGAGACAAACGGGGGCAUUUGUAUGGUCCCGUGAGAGGUGAAAUUCUUGGACCGUGGCCAGACAAACUACAGCGAAAGCAUUUGCCAAGAAUGUUUUUAUUAAUCAAGAACGAAAGUCAGAGGUUCGAAGGCGAUCAGAUACCGCCCUAGUUCUGACCGUAAACGAUGCCAACUAGCGAUCCGCCGAUGGAAAUUAUAUUGCCUUGGUGGGGAGCUUCCCGGAAACGAAAGUCUUCCGGUUCCGGGGGAAGUAUGGUUGCAAAGCUGAAACUUAAAGGAAUUGACGGAAGGGCACCACCAGGAGUGGAGCCUGCGGCUUAAUUUGACUCAACACGGGGAAACUCACCCGGCCCGGACACUGUGAGGAUUGACAGAUUGAUAGCUUUUUCAUGAUUCAGUGGAUGGUGGUGCAUGGCCGUUCUUAGUUCGUGGAGUGAUUUGUCUGGUUUAUUCCGAUAACGAGCGAGACUCUAACCUACUAAAUAGUUGGUACAUACUCUUAGUGUAUACAGCUUCUUAGAGGGAUUUGCGGCGUUCAGCCGAAAGAAAUUGAGCAAUAACAGGUCUGUGAUGCCCUUAGAUGUCCGGGGCUGCACGCGCGCUACACUGGCAAAAUCAACGUGCUUGUCCUACCCUGAAAGGGGCGGGUAAACCAUUGAAAAUUUGCCGUGAUUGGGAUCGGAAAUUGCAAUUAUUUUCCGUGAACGAGGAAUUCCAAGUAAGUGCGAGUCAUCAGCUCGCGUUGAUUACGUCCCUGCCCUUUGUACACACCGCCCGUCGCUGCCCGGGACUGAGCCAUUUCGAGAAAUUUGGGGACCGUUGAUUUAAUUUUUCUAAAUUACUUUGAUGGAAACCAAUUUAAUCGCAGUGGCUUGAACCGGGC